rnacentral:rRNA from 1 species
AAACCAGCACCUCAAGUGGUCAGGAGGAUUAUUGGGCCUAAAGCAUCCGUAGCCUGUUCUAUAAGUUUCCGGUUAAAUCCACUAGCUCAACUAGUGGGCUGCCGAAAAUACUGUAGAACUAGGGAGUGGGAGAGGUAGACGGUAUUCGGUAGGAAGGGGUAAAAUCCUUUGAUCUAUUGAGGACCACCUGUGGCGAAGGCGGUCUACCAGAACACGUCCGACGGUGAGGGAUGAAAGCUGGGGGAGCAAACCGGAUUAGAAACCCGGGUAGUCC